rnacentral:lncRNA from 1 species
CAGGUACACAAGACAAUUCUUAUUCCAAUGGCUGUCGGUUAUGAAAAUAUUUUCCUUUAUCUGUAAUCCUUUUCGAAGUGUCUUUCUUCGGCCUUUUCUCUUUGUUCUAUUUCUUCGUAGGCUUAUUCUUCUUCUUCUCUGAAGACUUUUUUUUUGAAAGAAGAUGCCUGUUCCACAACAAAAAUGGAGUCCCUUGAACUCUUUAAGUCCCCUCUAUGGUCACCAACAUGUUGACGAGUUUGGAUAGGG